rnacentral:rRNA from 1 species
UACAGAGGGUGCGAGCGUUGUCCGGAAUCACUGGGCGUAAAGGGCGCGUAGGUGGCGAGCCAAGUCCAUGGUGAAAGCUCGAUGCUCAACAUCGAGUCGGCCACGGAUACUGGUGCGCUUGAGCACUGUAGAGGCUAAUGGAAUUCCGGGUGUAGCGGUGGAAUGCGUAGAGAUCCGGAAGAACACCGGUGGCGAAGGCGGCCAACUGGUCCGGUACUGACGCUGAGGUGCGAAAGCGUGGGGAGCAAACAGG